AUUGAACGCUGGCGGCAUGCUUUACACAUGCAAGUCGAACGGUAACAGGCCGCAAGGUGCUGACGAGUGGCGAACGGGUGAGUAAUGCAUCGGAACGUGCCCAGUCGUGGGGGAUAACUACUCGAAAGAGUAGCUAAUACCGCAUACGAUCUAUGGAUGAAAGCGGGGGACCGUAAGGCCUCGCGCGAUUGGAGCGGCCGAUGUCAGAUUAGGUAGUUGGUGGGGUAAAGGCUCACCAAGCCAACGAUCGGUAGCUGGUCUGAGAGGACGACCAGCCACACUGGGACUGAGACACGGCCCAGACUCCUACGGGAGGCAGCAGUGGGGAAUGUUGGACAAUGGGCGCAAGCCUGAUCCAGCAAUGCCGCGUGCAGGAAGAAGGCCUUCGGGUUGUAAACUGCUUUUGUACGGAACGAAACGGCUCUGGUUAAUACCCGGGGCUAAUGACGGUACCGUAAGAAUAAGCACCGGCUAACUACGUG
rnacentral:rRNA from 1 species